rnacentral:rRNA from 1 species
UACGGAGGGUGCGAGCGUUGUCCGGAAUCAUUGGGCGUAAAGGGCGCGUAGGCGGCUCGCCAAGUCGGGGGUGAAAUCUUUCGGCUCAACCGGAAAAGUGCCUUCGAUACUGGCGGGCUGGAGGGAGGUAGGGGCAUGUGGAACUUCCGGUGGAGCGGUGAAAUGCGUUGAUAUCGGAAGGAACGCCGGUGGCGAAAGCGACGUGCUGGACCUCUUCUGACGCUGAGGCGCGAAAGCUAGGGGAGCGAACGGG